UACGGAGGGUCCGAGCGUUAUCCGGAAUCAUUGGGUUUAAAGGGUCCGUAGGCGGGCGGCUAAGUCAGUGGUGAAAGUCUGUGGCUCAACCAUAGAAUUGCCAUUGAAACUGGUCGUCUUGAAUCAAUGUGAAGUGGUUAGAAUAAGUAGUGUAGCGGUGAAAUGCAUAGAUAUUACUUAGAAUACCGAUUGCGAAGGCAGAUCACUAACAUUGUAUUGACGCUGAGGGACGAAAGCGUGGGGAGCGAACAGG
rnacentral:rRNA from 1 species